rnacentral:misc_RNA from 1 species
GGAAGUAAAAGUCGUGACAAGGUUUCCGUAGGUGAACCUGCGGAAGGAUCAUUACUGAGAACUUGCCCCUUGGGGUAGAUCUCCCACCCAUUGUUUACAUACUUUGUUGCUUUGGCAGGCCUGCCCUUUGGGCUACUGGCCUCGGCUAGUUAGUGCCUGCCAGAGAACCAACACUCUGAAUCAUUUAUUGUCUGAGUACUAUAUAUAUAAUAGUUAAAACUUUCAACAACGGAUCUCUUGGUUCUG